CCAAUGAAGUCAUAGCAGUCUUUCCACUGACCCCAGUGAACACGGCUGUCAGCAACAGUACCUGCCUCACAUGCUGCUGCCAGCAGGAAGGGCCUUUGGGGACACUUCAGCCGGGCAAAAACUGUCUUUGUGGCUACUGAACUACGUCACUCUGAAUGGCUUCAUCAGCUGCUGCCGGCUACACCCAGACGAGCCAAACACCACCCGGAAAACUGCAUUCUGGAAGUGUCUGUGUGUGACUCACGGCUGCCCUGCCCACUUGAUAUGAAUAUCAAAGGAGUCCAGAACCACCUGAAUUUCAACAAGGGGAAGUGCUGGAUGGGGAAACCCUGGAUGUACAGCCAGCCUGGGGAA